rnacentral:rRNA from 1 species
UACGUAGGGUGCAAGCGUUGUCCGGAAUUAUUGGGCGUAAAGCGCGUGUAGGCGGCUCGAUAAGUCUGAUGUGAAAGUCCAGGGCUCAACCCUGGGAUGCCGGUGGAUACUGUCGAGCUCGAGUCCGGAAGAGGCGAGUGGAAUUCCUGGUGUAGCGGUGAAAUGCGCAGAUAUCAGGAGGAACACCAAUGGCGAAGGCAGCGCGCUGGGACGGUACUGACGCUGAGACGCGAAAGCGUGGGGAGCGAACAGG